UGAGUGAUGAAGGCCCUAGGGUUGUAAAGCUCUUUCACCGGUGAAGAUAAUGACGGUACCUGAAGAAUAAGCACCGGCUAACUACGUGCCAGCAGCCGCGGUAAUACGUAGGGUGCAAGCGUUAAUCGGAAUUACUGGGCGUAAAGCGCACGUAGGCGGUUAGUUAAGCUAGCUGUGAAAUCCCCGGGCUUAACCUGGGAAUUGCAGUUAGAACUGGCUAGCUAGAGUAUGGUAGAGGGGUGUGGAAUUUCAGGUGUAGCGGUGAAAUGCGUAGAUAUCUGAAGGAACACCAGUGGCGAAGGCGACACCCUGGACCAAUACUGACGCUGAGGUGCGAAAGCGUGGGGAGCAAACAGGAUUAGAUACCCUGUAGUCCACGCCGUAAACGA
rnacentral:rRNA from 1 species